rnacentral:rRNA from 1 species
UACGUAGGGCGCAAGCGUUGUCCGGAAUUAUUGGGCGUAAAGAGCUCGUAGGCGGCUUGUCACGUCGGGUGUGAAAGCCCGGGGCUUAACCCCGGGUCUGCAUUCGAUACGGGCAGGCUAGAGUGUGGUAGGGGAGAUCGGAAUUCCUGGUGUAGCGGUGAAAUGCGCAGAUAUCAGGAGGAACACCAGUGGCGAAGGCGGCUUCCCUGGACCGGUUCGACACUGAGGAGCGAAAAGCGUGGGGGAGCGAUCCGG